rnacentral:rRNA from 1 species
UACGUAGGGGGCAAGCGUUGUCCGGAUUUAUUGGGCGUAAAGAGCGUGUAGGCGGUUCGGUAGGUCCGUUGUGAAAACUCGAGGCUCAACCUCGAGACGCCGAUGGAAACCCUCGAACUAGAGUCCGGAAGAGGAGAAUGGAAUUCCUGGUGUAGCGGUGAAAUGCGCAGAUAUCGGGAGGAACACCUGUGGCGAAAGCGGCUCACUGGACCACAACUGACGCUGAGGCGCGAAAGCUAGGGGAGCAAACAGG